AACGAACGCUGGCGGCAGGCUUAACACAUGCAAGUCGAGCGCCCCGCAAGGGGAGCGGCAGACGGGUGAGUAACGCGUGGGAACGUACCCUUUGCUACGGAAUAGCUCCGGGAAACUGGAAUUAAUACCGUAUGUGCCCUACGGGGGAAAGAUUUAUCGGCAAAGGAUCGGCCCGCGUUGGAUUAGCUAGUUGGUGGGGUAAAGGCCUACCAAGGCGACGAUCAGUAGCUGGUCUGAGAGGAUGAUCAGCCACACUGGGACUGAGACACGGCCCAGACUCCUACGGGAGGCAGCAGUGGGGAAUAUUGGACAAUGGGCGGAAGCCUGAUCCAGCCAUGCCGCGUGAGUGAUGAAGGCCUUCGGGUUGUAAAGCUCUUUCGCACGCGACGAUGAUGACGGUAGCGUGAGAAGAAGCCCCGGCUAACUUCGUGCCAGCCGCCGCCGUAACAC
rnacentral:rRNA from 1 species